ensembl:snoRNA Gm23834 small nucleolar RNA SNORA17
CCUGUCUGUCUCAACCCUGGCAGGUGUGGCUGCUGUGUCACACGUGCGUCAGUAGGUGGCAGAGAGGAGAGAGGCUAUGUCUAUGCUCAGUGUUCUGCCCUGGAAACAUGGGAAUGAUGAGUAGCCUAACACU